AUUGAACGCUGGCGGCAGGCCUAACACAUGCAAGUCGAGCGGAGCGGCGGACGGGUGAGUAUUGCCUAGGAAUAUGCCUGGUAGCGUGGGAUAACGUCCGGUAACGGGCCCUAACACCGCAUACUAUCAGAUGAGCCUAGGUGGGAUUAGCUAGUUGUGGGGGUAAAGGCCUACCAAGGCGACGAUCCGUAACUGGUCUGAGAGGAUGAUCAGUCACACUGGAACUGAGACACGGUCCAGACUCCUACGGGAGGCAGCAGUGGGGAAUAUGGGACAAUGGGCGAAAGCCUGAUCCAGCCAUGCCGCGUGUGUGAAGAAGGUCUUCGGGUUGUAAAGCACUUUAAGUUGGGAGGCGUUACCAACAGAAUAAGCACCGGCUAACUUCGUGCCAGCCGCCGCGGUAAUUC
rnacentral:rRNA from 1 species